UAGGGAAUCUUCGGCAAUGGACGAAAGUCUGACCGAGCAACGCCGCGUGAGUGAAGAAGGUUUUCGGAUCGUAAAACUCUGUUGUUAGAGAAGAACAAGGACGUUAGUAACUGAACGUCCCCUGACGGUAUCUAACCAGAAAGCCACGGCUAACUACGUGCCAGCAGCCGCGGUAAUACGUAGGUGGCAAGCGUUGUCCGGAUUUAUUGGGCGUAAAGCGAGCGCAGGCGGUUUCUUAAGUCUGAUGUGAAAGCCCCCGGCUCAACCGGGGAGGGUAAUUGGAAACUGGGAGACUUGGGUGGAGAAGAGGGGAGUGGAAUUCCAUGUGUAGCGGUGAAAUGCGUAGAUAUAUGGAGGAACACCAGUGGCGAAGGCGGCUAUCUGGUCUGUAACUGACGCUGAGGCUCGAAAGCGUGGGGAGCAAACAGG
rnacentral:rRNA from 1 species